rnacentral:rRNA from 1 species
UGGGGGAUAUUGCACAAUGGGCGAAAGCCUGAUGCAGCGACGCCGCGUUGGGGAUGAAGGCCUUCGGGUUGUAAACUUCUUUUGCUCUGAACAAGGCAGGCCUUUGGGGUGUGUUGAGUGUAGGGGUUGAUUAGCGCCGGCUAACUACGUGCCAGCAGCCGCGGUAAUACGUAGGGCGCGAGCGUUGUCCGGAAUUAUUGGGCGUAAAGGGCUUGUAGGUGGCUGGUUGCGUCUGUCGUGAAAGCUCAUGGCUUAACUGUGGGUUUGCGGUGGGUACGGGCUGGCUUGAGUGCAGUAGGGGAGGCUGGAAUUCCUGGUGUAGCGGUGGAAUGCGCAGAUAUCAGGAGGAAUACCGGUGGCGAAGGCGGGUCUCUGGGCUGUUACUGACGCUGAGGAGCGAAAGCGUGGGGAGCGAACAGG